GGUAGCAUGGCAUAGUGGUUUUAGCAUUAGAUUAUGACUCUGAAGAUCAGGAUUCAAAUCCCCACUCAGCCA